CUAACAGAUGUCUUAGAGAAAGCAACAGUGGACAAAACUGUGAAUGGGUUUGAAGACCCCAAAGACUCAGGUGAAGAGAAACAGCCUACAGACAACAUCAGUGUGUCAAGUCCAGAGGAGAAGGAAGAAAUCAGUUCCUUUAUUAUGAGAGAUGGGAAAGAAGUUUGUUCACACUGUGACCAGUUUAUUGGACUGAUAAAGCUCACAGUUAGUUAUCCCCCAAAGUAUCUCCACCCUGAGUGUCUAAUGUGUGGUGAGUGCGCAAAGAUCCUGGGAGACCUGCUGACCCCAAUGUUCCAACACAAUCAAGUGAUUUACUGCAGUGAG